rnacentral:rRNA from 1 species
GAGUUUGAUCAUGGCUCAGAUUGAACGCUGGCGGCAUGCUUUACACAUGCAAGUCGAACGGUAACAGGGAGCUUGCUCCGCUGACGAGUGGCGAACGGGUGAGUAAUGCGUCGGAACGUGCCGAGUAGUGGGGGAUAACACAUUGAAAGGUGUGCUAAUACCGCAUACGUACUGAGGUGGAAAGUGGGGGACCUUCGGGCCUCACGCUACUCGAGCGGCCGACGUCUGAUUAGCUAGUAGGUGAGGUAAAGGCUCACCUAGGCGACGAUCAGUAGCGGGUCUGAGAGGAUGAUCCGC